rnacentral:lncRNA from 1 species
UGGUAGUGUAUUUGUCUAUAAAAAUAAAAGGAUAUAGACACCUUCUUAAUCUCCAGAAAAGCUCUAUAAUCUUCUUAAAGUUAGUGUUUUCAGUCCAAAUUCUAUUUUGUUUGUAAGUCUUUAACUCAUUUAUUUGAAUUUUAAGGUUUUGUUUUGGUUUGAUUAUCUUCUUUCUUUCUCUUGUUAUUUGUAGGUGAUGGAUAUAGAAGAAUCAAUGGAGAAGAGUAAC